rnacentral:rRNA from 1 species
UCUAUAAUGCAGUCGAGCGACAGAUAAGGAGCUUGCUCCUUUGACGUUAGCGGCGGACGGGCGAGUAACACGUGGAUAACCUACCUAUAAGACUGGGAUAACUUCGGGAAACCGGAGCUAAUACCGGAUAAGAUUUUGAACCGCAUGGUUCAAUAGUGAAAGACGGCCUUGCUGUCACUUAUAGAUGGAUCCGCGCCGUAUUAGCUAGUUGGUAAGGUAACGGCUUACCAAGGCAACGAUACGUAGCCGACCUGAGAGGGUGAUCGGCCACACUGGAACUGAGACACGGUCCAGACUCCUACGGGAGGCAGCAGUAGGGAAUCUUCCGCAAUGGGCGAAAGCCUGACGGAGCAACGCCGCGUGAGUGAUGAAGGUCUUCGGAUCGUAAAACUCUGUUAUCAGGGAAGAACAAACGUGUAAGUAACUGUGCACGUCUUGACGGUACCUGAUCAGAAAGCCACGGCUAACUACGUGCCAGCAGCCGCGGUAAUACGUAGGUGGCAAGCGUUAUCCGGAAUUAUUGGGCGUAAAGCGCGCGUAGGCGGUUUUUUAAGUCUGAUGUGAAAGCCCACGGCUCAACCGUGGAGGGUCAUUGGAAACUGGAAAACUUGAGUGCAGAAGAGGAAAGUGGAAUUCCAUGUGUAGCGGUGAAAUGCGCAGAGAUAUGGAGGAACACCAGUGGCGAAGGCGACUUUCUGGUCUGUAACUGACGCUGAUGUGCGAAAGCGUGGGGAUCAACAGGAUUAGAUACCCUGGUAGUCCACGCCGUAACGAUGAGUGCUAAGUGUUAGGGGGUUUCCGCCCCUUAGUGCUGCAGCUACGCAUUAAGC